rnacentral:rRNA from 1 species
AUUGAACGCUGGCGGCAUGCCUUACACAUGCAAGUCGAACGGCAGCGGACCUUCGGGUGCCGGCGAGUGGCGAACGGGUGAGUAAUAUAUCGGAACGUACCUUUCAGUGGGGGAUAACGUAGCGAAAGUUACGCUAAUACCGCAUAUUCUGUGAGCAGGAAAGCAGGGGAUCGCAAGACCUUGCGCUGAUUGAGCGGCCGAUAUCAGAUUAGCUAGUUGGUGAGGUAAAGGCUCACCAAGGCGACGAUCUGUAGCGGGUCUGAGAGGAUGAUCCGCCACACUGGAACUGAGACACGGUCCAGACUCCUACGGGAGGCAGCAGUGGGGAAUCUUGCGCAAUGGGCGAAAGCCUGACGCAGCGACGCCGCGUGGGUGAUGAAGGCCUUAGGGUUGUAAAGUCCUUUCAGAUGGGAAGAUAAUGACGGUACCAUCAGAAGAAGCCCCGGCUAACUCCGUGCCAGCAGCCGC